UACGAAGGGUGCAAGCGUUACUCGGAAUUACUGGGCGUAAAGGGUGCGUAGGCGGUUGUUUAAGUCUGUUGUGAAAGCCCCGGGCUCAACCUGGGAAUGGCAAUGGAUACUGGACAGCUAGAGUGCGGUAGAGGGUAGUGGAAUUCCCGGUGUAGCAGUGAAAUACGUAGAGAUCGGGAGGAACACCAGUGGCGAAGGCGGCUACCUGGACCAGCACUGACACUGAAGCACGAAAGCGUGGGGAGCAAACAGG
rnacentral:rRNA from 1 species